rnacentral:rRNA from 1 species
UACGAAGGGGGGCUAGCGUUGCUCGGAAUCACUGGGCGUAAAGGGUGCGUAGGCGGGUCUUUUAAGUCAGGGGUGAAAUCCUGGAGCUCAACUCCAGAACUGCCUUUGAUACUGAAGAUCUUGAGUUCGGGAGAGGUGAGUGGAACUGCGAGUGUAGAGGUGAAAUGCGUAGAUAUUCGGCGGAACACCAGUGGCGAAGGCGACUCACUGGCCCGAUACUGACGCUGAGGCGCGAAAGCGUGGGGAGCAAACAGG